rnacentral:rRNA from 1 species
GACGAACGCUGGCGGCGUGCUUAACACAUGCAAGUCGAACGGAAAGGCCCUGCUUUUGUGGGGUGCUCGAGUGGCGAACGGGUGAGUAACACGUGAGUAACCUGCCCUUGACUUUGGGAUAACUUCAGGAAACUGGGGCUAAUACCGGAUAGGAGCUCCUGCUGCAUGGUGGGGGUUGGAAAGUUUCGGCGGUUGGGGAUGGACUCGCGGCUUAUCAGCUUGUUGGUGGGGUAGUGGCUUACCAAGGCUUUGACGGGUAGCCGGCCUGAGAGGGUGACCGGCCACAUUGGGACUGAGAUGCGGCCCAGACUCAUACGGGAGGCAGGAGUGGGGAAUAUUGCACAAUGGGCGGAAGCCGGAUGCAGCAACGCCGCGUGCGGGAUGACGGCCUUCGGGUUGUAAACCGCUUUCGCCUGUGACGAAGCGUGAGUGACGGUAAUGGGGAAAGAAGCACCGGCUAACUACGU